CUGGGAGAGGGCCUGCUUAUUGACAGGGUGCUCUGGAGGCACAGAAAGAAAUAAUAAUAAUGAUAAUAGUGGUGAUGAUGAUGAUGAUUAAUAAUAGGCCGAGCAGGGCUGAACUGCUCUGGAGGCAGAGAAAGAACUAAUAAUGAUGAUAAUAUUAGUGAUGAUAAUAUUAAUAAUUAAUAAUAGGCCGAGCAGAGGGAAGGGGGUGCUGGGCAAGGGCCUGCUUAGUAACAGGGGGCUCUGGAGGCAGAGAAAGAACUAAUGAUGAUGAUGAUGAUGAUGAUGAUGAUAUGAAUUAAUAAUAGGCUGAGCAGGGGGAAGGAGUGGCUAGGCGAGGGCCUGCUUAUUGACAGGGAGCUCUAGAGGCAGAGAAAGAAAUAAUCGCAAUAACAAUAAUAAUACACUGGAUCAAGCUAAAAACAUCCAUUAUUGCAGCCUGUUACAAACUAUUGGAUACCAAAGCAAGAAACACCAGGACUGGUUUGAUGAGAAUGACAGUGAGAUUGAACGCAUGAUUGACAAGAAAAGGAAGGCCUUUCAGAUCUGGCAAAGAGAUAGAUACUGUGUCACUAAGAAAAAAACCUAUGCCAACGCUAAGGCUGAGGUUCAAAGAAGAACCAGAGAACUAAAAAACACCUGGUGAAUAAAAAAAAGCUUAAGAGAUCCAGCACUUAGCCAACACUCAUUAUGCACAGAGUUUCUUUAAAGCCGCAAAGAAAACCUAUGGGCCAAUAAAUCAUGGCAUACGCUCAACAGAUGGUAUCACACUUCUAAAAGAUAAAUAAGUUAUUGCAUUGCGCUGGAAAGAAUAUUACCAACAUCUCCUUAAUCACAACUACCCCAUACCUGCUUAAGUCCUCUCACAAAUCCCGCAAAAACAAAUUAGAGAUGAGCUUGCAGUAUGUCCAAAUCUGGGAGAGUUGUUUACAGCUACUAACCAAAUGAAAAACAACAAAGCCAGUGGAUCUGAUGGGAUACCUGCCCAAAUCUUCAAAGCGGGCGGAAUUGGAAUUACACAACAACUUCACAUAGAAACAGAAAUCGUGAGGCGGUGGCACAGCAACAGUGGAAGGCCCCAUUAGCUAAAGUGGUGCUUCAGGUUAAGUACAGUUUCAGGUUAAGAACGGACCUCCAGAAAGAAUUAAGUUCUUAACCCGAGGUGCCACUGUAUAAGCACUGACAACUUGGAAACACUGGCCUGCGAGUGCUCCAGUCGGAGAACAGCCUUUACAAAAAGUGUCAUGGUCUUUGAAGACACUCGAACUCUGGACGCAAGGGAGAAAUGUGCUAGAAGAAAGAUCAGCUCCUGCCCGGAAACCAAUGUCCCCACUGUGGACGGACAUGUGGAUCCAGAAUUGGCCUCCACAGUCUCUUACGGACUCCUUGUUAAAACUGUGUUUAUGGAAGACAAUCUUACUCGGCUACGAGGGAUCGCCGAAGAAGAAGAAGAAGGGGGUGGGGCUAGGCCUGCUUAUUGACAGGGGGCUCUGGAGGCAGAGAAAUUAAUAAUAAUGAUGAUGAUGAUAGUAAUAAUAAUAAAAGGUCGGGAAGGGGGGCUGGGUGGGGGCCUGUGUGGCCACCUACCUGCUUAUGUCAAGGCGGAGACUGCAGCCUUUAGGGGAUCAUGAGGAGAACUUUUGAAAACGGUCCUGUUGGAACUUGUAGUGCUUUUUUCUAUAAGCAUACGGUAGUUUUAUUGAUUUCCAAUACGUAACAACAAUUACAAUCUACAGAAUAGAUUUCUUCUAUGGCAUGUUGUUAGUAGUUCUUGAACUACCCUGAGAUCUGUGGGUAUAGGGCGGUAUACCCAUUGUAGUAGUAGUAAUAAUAAUAAUAAUUAAAAAAUAAUUAUUACAUGGAAAAGAAAAAUGAAAGGACAACAUCCCAAUGUUCCCUGCUCCAGGCUAGAUCAAUCUAUUUAAGUGUGCCUAAGUCCAGUCUGUGACUUCAGUAGCAGCUGUCCUUAAGGUUUAUCAGUAAAGUCCUUUGUAAAAGGACGCCAUGUUUCAACAAAAUUGUCUACAUCAUUUGCAUUAUUCAAUAUAUGUAAUCGCUUGGUUAAUAUUUCAGAUACGGCGAUGGACCAUACAUUCCAUUUCCAAGGAGAAACGCACAGAUGUUGCAAUCUGUGCCACUAGUAGGCGUCCUGCUACUAAAAUAAAAGUAAUUUGUUAUUUGCAGUAAA